GUCCUUUGAUUUUGGGGAUCAAAAAGCGUUUGGUCUAAGUUAUACAUGCUUGUUAAAUGCGAACAGGUGAGGGUGAAAGAAAAAAAAAUAUUUUUUUUUUUUGUAUUAGGAAAAAAAAGAAGUUUUUUUCUUUUUUCCAAAGAUGCAGGGUAAAACCACAUUUUCACUGAAACAAGGGAAAACAUUAGCAGCAGUAAGGAAUUUUAUGUAAUAUACGAAAGUAAGACAUAGUUAGGACAUUUUUAUCUGUCAAAUUAAGUGCCAGCAGACGCGGUGAAACUUAAGGAUUUGUUUUUUAGAAAAAGCAGAAAGCGUGUAGAGGUAAAAAAAUAUUUAAAAUAAAUAGAAUUUUUUUAGUAAUAGUGAAAUGUUAUUAUAAGGAAAAGAAUUCUUUAUGUGAAAAUAAUUUAUUUUUUUUUCUUAAGCACGAGGGUUUUGGGAGUAAACAGGAUUAGAGACCCUGGUAAUCAAUACAGUAAAAAAAAAUCGCUUGAGUAGUACGGUCGCAAGAUUAAAAUUCAAAAAAUUUGGCUGUUCAUUGUUAUUUAGAGGAGCGUGUCGUUUAAUUCGAUAAUCCGCGAGUUACCUUACCAAGACUUGGUUUUCCGGUGUUGCAUGGCCGUCGUCAAUUUAUGUUUGAUACAAUAAAUUAAAUCCUAGAAAGGUUGAAGUCAGGUAUUAUUGCCCUUAUGUUUUGGGAUUAGAUGCGCUACAUUUUUUUAAUAAAAAAAAAAGAGUUCGGAGUGUUUUUAAAAUAGAGCAAUUAAGUUGAAUUUAAUAGUAAUUGAAAAGUAGAGCGUUUCAAUGAAUUUAAAACAAUGUUAGUACAAAUUGCCCGUCGCCUUUGCUGAGGUAAACAAAGCAGAGUAAGUCGUAACAUAGUGAGGGUGAGGGAACUGGUCCUUG
rnacentral:rRNA from 1 species